ACACAUGAAAAGAGAUGUAAAGAGGAAGGAGUUUCAGGAGGGUACUGGCCAGGUCAAAGGAGAGGGUGGAGGAAAAGAGCCACGAAAUAACCGGGAGACAAGCUUUCGGGGGCUUUUGACUGACUGGAUGUGGGAAUGUUGUGGAAGACUUCUGGCCUGCCAUUUCCUGAGAAUGGGACUGCUGAGAGAAGAGCUGGGAGGAGCACUGCAAAUUUCACUCUGGACACAUGAGUCAGAGGUUAACACAGAAAUCUGCCUCCUGGGCCAUGCCGCUUCUAAGGCCUGUUUCUUCUCAUGAGCCCCAGCACAAGACAGAUGGGCCAGUUCUCACAGUGGAUAACUUCCCCUGCCUGAGCAAGAGAUGGGAUAGUAUCUGGGAUCUAUCCAUCACCAGACUCUGAACUUAAUAAGGCAGCUGAAUGAAGGGAGGUAACGGACCCCUGAGAGGGGCGCUGAAGUCUGCAGUGGGGGGGG
rnacentral:sRNA from 1 species